CGCGCCAAGCCACGACUUUGGAGGCCUCCUGGGUGGCGCCAAGGCUCUGUGGAGAGGGGCGGGAAGAAGCACCUCGCUGAGGAGAGGACUGCCGGCGAGAUGGAGAGGGGGACCGAGGAGGAGAGCGGGGCCCGGGGCGAGACAGCCGGGUCCGACCUCGGACGUCGCGGGGGCGCGGCUCGUCUGGGAAUUCUGAGUGUCCUUGACAUGACGGAACAGGGCCCGGGGAGGCUGUGUGGGACCAGGACCCGCGCGGCAGAGACGUUGACUGACGUCGCAGUGGUUUCAAACGGGAGGAGGAAUCUGCGCCUUGCUCACGAGCGGAAGGCUGCUGGGACGCGUGUGGCCGGCGUUGUCCUCGGGCCCUGCCUUGAGUCGGAGGUGCCGGCAAAACUGCGGAUUUCGGAGGACACAGUCCUUGACGUGGCUGCGUAGAUCCCGUGUUUCUUGGGGGUUUUGUUUCUUCGUCCCGAACGUGUGCACGGGCCCGUGAAGGAAGUCAGCCGUCCGGGCGGGCUCCAGGUCCAGCUCAGAGGCGUUUGCAGUGCUGGAGCGGGCGGGCAUGGAGAGGGCGAGCAGACAGAAGCGAUGGAAAGAAUCGCCCCUUCCCUCCCCUUCAGACCUGCCUCUGUGCAGAGCCGAGGACUGGAGGGAGAGUGUCCCACAUGAAGCCCAAGUUGGUUCUACCUGUUGUUACCUAGUGGGCCUUUCCAGGCCCAACUGCAGGGCCAUGACAAAAACUGCUUUUAGGUUACUGAUGUGUCAGGAGUAAGACAAAUCAUGCUUUUCUUCCCCCUGGACAUAGGGUCUUGAUGUAUAGUUCAGGCAGGUCUUGAACUCACUGUGUAAGCCGGGCUGGCCUCGAACUUGAAGCGAUCCUCCUCCCCCAGCCUGCCAAGUGCUGAAAUUAUGGGUGUGUUCCCCAGGCCUGGCUAAAUCAUGCUGGUGAUGAGUAACUGGCUAAGGACCCCUGGGGUUUUUGUUUCUGUCCCUGUGGUGGUCUCUGUGGUCCCCUGUCACUACUGUGCUCUCCGACUGUGUCAUGAAUGGGAUGUCUCUGGGAGCCAAGCUGAGGCCACAACCAGAACUGAAGAGGCAGAUGGAAGAGAAAGUUGGCACAAGUGGAGAAAGAAAAUUCCCCCAAAAGCAUAAGGUCAUGGUAGAAUAGGUAGAAACCAAAAAUGUGGAGGAAAAGUUGGAUGAGAAGCUUCAAGGGAAGCUGAGGAUGCCUCGUGUCCUCCUGGCUUCCAGGCACAGCCUGAGCAAGCAGUGUGGUUGGAAGGGAAAGGGAUUCCGCAGUGGAUUCAUGCACCUAGCAAAAGAGUUUCCUGGGUGGACACAGAGCAGGAUUAUGUCACCUGGAAGCAUCAACUCCAGGAGGGGAAACAGAACCGUGAAAUCCAAGUCCUGUUUCCAGGGACUAGAAUUUGGUGCUGCCCUCAUUGCAGAUGCCCGGCCGGUGAGCAUGAGUGGAGAGGGAAUAACUUGGCGGGAGAAGGUGGAUGCUGCACCCUCAGCAGUUCUGCUCUGACUUAGGGAGGUGCAGGAUAGGGGAUUCCUGCUUGGAGCUAGGGAGACUCCUCCGGUCCGUCUCCCCUGGCAGCAGGUGAAUAUUUGCGUGCAGCAUCUCUCACAUACAUCUCUCACUGAUUGCUCAGUGUUUCUCCCCUGUGUUUUAACUUGGGAGUUUAGAUACUAGAACUGUUUCCCAGAAGAACCCAAAGCUGGGAGAGGGAGAACAGCAGUGGUUUCAACACCGUGUGGCAUUUCUCCUGCACUAGUUGUCCGUGGCAGCACAGAAUACCAUGGACAGGACAGAGGUGCUGUGCUUCAUGACUAGGAAACUCAGCAAACGAGGCCCUGAACAUCGUCCCAUUUUCACCAGAGCUUGAAGGUUGACGUCACCAAGCGGGGCUGUGUGGACAGGCCGCUGUCUCAGGAGCUGAUAGUUUCCUCCUGGAGUCCUUUGAGCCUGUCUGUGACAGAACAUGGGGGCAGAAAUGUUCUUGCCAUGAUGGGAGGUUUGCAGCCACGUUGGUGCUGUCAGUGAGGGAACGCUGUUCUGAUCCUCGGUGCUUGGGCCUGCACUAGGAACUGUGCAUACAGAGACACAGAAACUGUCAUCCCAGCGUCCCCAGAGCUCUCAUACAGGGAAAGCAGCAAGUCACAAGAUGGACUGAGACAGGGAAGCUGCUGCUGGGUGGAACUGCAUCACUGUUUGCAUUGCUUCUCCCUCUGGUUUUUCCAGCAGCUGAAGAUAGUGACUGUGGCCACUCAGAACAUCACCACCACCUAGGCUCCAGGCUGAACGCCAUUCCCAUUGUGCGGGUCUGAGGAUGGCCUCAUGUGUAUCCCCUGACUGUGUUCCAGUCAGCUGGAGAAGUGAAAAGCCAGGUUCAGUGAGACAUACAGGUUCAUCCUUGCCAAGUCAUCCUGAUCUUGACUCUGUCUGAGAAGAGCUUUUCAAUUUCACUCUUCUCUCCCCAUGUGAAGGCCAGUUAUGUAUUGGCCAUACUUCUAAAACUGUAUUACCUGUUGUUUUAUACCAGUUGUGAAAUAAAAUGGGGUAGAAAAUUUAACCCCUUCCCGACGGGGCCAAAA